rnacentral:siRNA from 1 species
GUAGUUAUAAAUAUCGGUAUAGUA